UACGUAGGGGGCUAGCGUUGUCCGGAAUCAUUGGGCGUAAAGCGCGUGUAGGCGGUCCGGUAAGUCCGCUGUGAAAGUCGGGGGCUCAACCCUCGAAUGCCGGUGGAUACUGUCGGGCUAGAGUGCGGAAGAGGCGAGUGGAAUUCCCGGUGUAGCGGUGAAAUGCGUAGAUAUCGAGAGGAACACCUGCGGCGAAGGCGGGUUGCUGGGCUGAUGACUGACGCUGAGGCGCGAAAGCCAGGGGAGCGAACGGG
rnacentral:rRNA from 1 species